AUUGAACGCUGGCGGCAGGCCUAACACUUGCAAGUCGAACGGUAACAGGAAGCAGCUUGCUGCUUUGCUGACGAGUGGCGGACGGGUGAGUAAUGUCUGGGAAACUGCCCGAUGGAGGGGGAUAACUACUGGAAACGGUAGCUAAUACCGCAUAACGUCGCAAGACCAAAGAGGGGGACCUUAGGGCCUCUUGCCAUCGGAUGUGCCCAGAUGGGAUUAGCUAGUAGGUGGGGUAACGGCUCACCUAGGCGACGAUCCCUAGCUGGUCUGAGAGGAUGACCAGCCACACUGGAACUGAGACACGGUCCAGACUCCUACGGGAGGCAGCAGUGGGGAAUAUUGCACAAUGGGCGCAAGCCUGAUGCAGCCAUGCCGCGUGUAUGAAGAAGGCCUUCGGGUUGUAAAGUACUUUCAGCGGGGAGGAAGGGAGUAAAGUUAAUACCUUUGCUCAUUGACGUUACCCGCAGAAGAAGCACCGGCUAACUCCGUG
rnacentral:rRNA from 1 species